rnacentral:rRNA from 1 species
GAUGAACGCUGGCGGCGUGCUUAACACAUGCAAGUCGAACGGUGAAGCAGAGCUUGCUCUGUGGAUCAGUGGCGAACGGGUGAGUAACACGUGAGCAACCUGCCCCUGACUCUGGGAUAAGCGCUGGAAACGGCGUCUAAUACUGGAUAUGAGCUGCGACCGCAUGGUCAGCAGUUGGAAAGAUUUUUCGGUCUGGGAUGGGCUCACGGCCUAUCAGCUUGUUGGUGAGGUAAUGGCUCACCAAGGCGUCGACGGGUAGCCGGCCUGAGAGGGUGACCGGCCACACUGGGACUGAGACACGGCCCAGACUCCUACGGGAGGCAGCAGUGGGGAAUAUUGCACAAUGGGCGAAAGCCUGAUGCAGCAACGCCGCGUGAGGGAUGACGGCCUUCGGGUUGUAAACCUCUUUUAGCAGGGAAGAAGCGAAAGUGACGGUACCUGCAGAAAAAGCGCCGGCUAACUACGUGCCAGCAGCCGCGGUAAUACGUAGGGCGCAAGCGUUAUCCGGAAUUAUUGGGCGUAAAGAGCUCGUAGGCGGUUUGUCGCGUCUGCUGUGAAAUCCCGAGGCUCAACCUCGGGUCUGCAGUGGGUACGGGCAGACUAGAGUGCGGUAGGGGAGAUUGGAAUUCCUGGUGUAGCGGUGGAAUGCGCAGAUAUCAGGAGGAACACCGAUGGCGAAGGCAGAUCUCUGGGCCGUUACUGACGCUGAGGAGCGAAAGGGUGGGGAGCAAACAGGCUUAGAUACCCUGGUAGUCCACCCCGUAAACGUUGGGAACUAGUUGUGGGGUCCAUUCCACGGAUUCCGUGACGCAGCUAACGCAUUAAGUUCCCCGCCUGGGGAGUACGGCCGCAAGGCUAAAACUCAAAGGAAUUGACGGGGACCCGCACAAGCGGCGGAGCAUGCGGAUUAAUUCGAUGCAACGCGAAGAACCUUACCAAGGCUUGACAUAUACGAGAACGGGCCAGAAAUGGUCAACUCUUUGGACACUCGUAAACAGGUGGUGCAUGGUUGUCGUCAGCUCGUGUCGGGAGAUGUUGGGUUAAGUCCCGCAACGAGCGCAACCCUCGUUCUAUGUUGCCAGCACGUAAUGGUGGGAACUCAUGGGAUACUGCCGGGGUCAACUCGGAGGAAGGUGGGGAUGACGUCAAAUCAUCAUGCCCCUUAUGUCUUGGGCUUCACGCAUGCUACAAUGGCCGGUACAAAGGGCUGCAAUACCGUGAGGUGGAGCGAAUCCCAAAAAGCCGGUCCCAGUUCGGAUUGAGGUCUGCAACUCGACCUCAUGAAGUCGGAGUCGCUAGUAAUCGCAGAUCAGCAACGCUGCGGUGAAUACGUUCCCGGGUCU